rnacentral:tRNA from 1 species
GACUAAGUAAUUAAAAGAUAAUAGUGGUCUUGUAAGCCAAAAUUAGAGAUCCCUCUCUUAGUCU